rfam:Flavobacteria bacterium RIFCSPLOWO2_12_FTLL_31_7 rifcsplowo2_12_scaffold_10723, whole genome shotgun sequence.
UUUGCGUUAGGGAUUGUAGUGAAAAUCCUUUUAUUUUUCAUAAAAGAUUGUAACGAAAAGCCCGACCUCGU